rnacentral:rRNA from 1 species
UGGGGAAUAUUGGACAAUGGGCGAAAGCCUGAUCCAGCAAUGCCGCGUGAGUGAUGAAGGCCUUAGGGUUGUAAAGCUCUUUUACCCGGGAUGAUAAUGACAGUACCGGGAGAAUAAGCUCCGGCUAACUCCGUGCCAGCAGCCGCGGUAAUACGGAGGGAGCUAGCGUUGUUCGGAAUUACUGGGCGUAAAGCGCACGUAGGCGGCCAUUCAAGUCAGAGGUGAAAGCCCAGGGCUCAACCUUGGAACUGCCUUUGAAACUAGAUGGCUAGAAUCCUGGAGAGGCGAGUGGAAUUCCGAGUGUAGAGGUGAAAUUCGUAGAUAUUCGGAAGAACACCAGUGGCGAAGGCGACUCGCUGGACAGGUAUUGACGCUGAGGUGCGAAAGCGUGGGGAGCAAACAGGAUUAGAUACCC